rnacentral:rRNA from 1 species
GAUGAACGCUGGCGGCGUGCCUAAUACAUGCAAGUAGAACGCUGAAGCUUGGUGCUUGCACCGAGCGGAUGAGUUGCGAACGGGUGAGUAACGCGUAGGUAACCUGCCUCUUAGCGGGGGAUAACUAUUGGAAACGAUAGCUAAUACCGCAUAAAAGUCGAUAUCGCAUGAUAUUGAUUUGAAAGGUGCAAAUGCAUCACUAAGAGAUGGACCUGCGUUGUAUUAGCUAGUUGGUGAGGUAACGGCUCACCAAGGCGACGAUACAUAGCCGACCUGAGAGGGGUGAUCGGCCACACUGGGGACUGAGACACGGCCAGACUCCUACGGGAGCAGCAGUAGGGAAUCUUCGGCAAUGGGGGCAACCCUGACCGAGCAACGCCGCGUGAGUGAAGAAGGUUUUCGGAUCGUAAAGCUCUGUUGUAAGAGAAGAACGAGUGUGAGAGUGGAAAGUUCACACUGUGACGGUAACUUACCAGAAA